AGAUAAUAACAUCUAAUAGUCAAGUGGGUUAUCUACCUCAAGGAAGAUGCCAUGCAGAUGAAAUGGAGAGGGAAUUUGAGGCUGUCAACGCUAUAACAAUACAUUAGAAAUGACGAAUACCCACCAUCUGCUUUGACAUUGAUGGAACUGGAGGGUAUUAUGCUGAGUGAAGUUAAACCAAGUGAAAUUUUUUUCAGAGGGACUGAAGUUUGGAUAAAAAAACCUCAAAUAUUAUGUGAGUUUUGUAUAAGAAUGUAAAAAAUUGGGCUGAUUUUUUGGAUUGUUGUUAACUUUUCAUGAAUUUAAAGCUUUCACUAAACAUCUUCUUACCUUGAGCCUUCUACAAAGCGCACUAAAAUACAAUUUAUCAAUCUUCUCAGACAGUCAUUUUAGUUAACUCAGCUACUGAAAUUUUCCCCUAUAAAGGUCUUGGUAUUAAAAUCCCACCUGAAAUUUUCUGUUGAUGUUGUACUUCUAAAAUGAGCUGACACCAUGAAUGAGCCUGGUAAAUAGCAAUGCAGUCAGAUGAUAGAAGAGUUAAAAUGUCAUUUGAUCCCAAACAUACAGGAUCUGAUGAUUCUCAGUAUAGUCAUACUUUUUCCUCAACUGGUCAGUUAAGAAGAGAACCUCUAUGGAAGUUUAGAAGGGUGGUCUUCUCAGCCAUUCUCCAUCUUUUAACCCAGCAAUCAUGUUGGAUGGCAAGGAAGACCUUCCCCAGACGUGUGCUGAUUAUAGGUCUGCAGUUUGUAUAAGAUUCCUGGGAGGCUAUUUUCCUUCUCAAGAAAGCACGGAAGUUUCUA